UUUGAAGUAAAAAAACGUAACAAGGUUUCCGUAGGUGAACCUGCGGAAGGAUCAUUACAGUAUUCUUUUUGCCAGCGCUUAAUUGCGCGGCGAAAAAACCUUACACACAGUGUUUUUUGUUAUUACAAGAACUUUUGCUUUGGUCUGGACUAGAAAUAGUUUGGGCCAGAGGUUUACUGAACUAAACUUCAAUAUUUAUAUUGAAUUGUUAUUUAUUUAAUUGUCAAUUUGUUGAUUAAAUUCAAAAAAUCUUCAAAACUUUCAACAACGGAUCUCUUGGUUCUCGCAUCGAUGAAGAACGCAGCGAAAUGCGAUAAGUAAUAUGAAUUGCAGAUUUUCGUGAAUCAUCGAAUCUUUGAACGCACAUUGCGCCCUCUGGUAUUCCAGAGGGCAUGCCUGUUUGAGCGUCAUUUCUCUCUCAAACCUUCGGGUUUGGUAUUGAGUGAUACUCUUAGUCGAACUAGGCGUUUGCUUGAAAUGUAUUGGCAUGAGUGGUACUGGAUAGUGCUAUAUGACUUUCAAUGUAUUAGGUUUAUCCAACUCGUUGAAUAGUUUAAUGGUAUAUUUCUCGGUAUUCUAGGCUCGGCCUUACAAUAUAACAAACAAGUUUGACCUCAAAUCAGGUAGGAUUACCCGCUGAACUUAAGCAUAUCAAAAGGCGGGGAGGAA
rnacentral:rRNA from 1 species